UAGGGAAUCUUCGGCAAUGGACGGAAGUCUGACCGAGCAACGCCGCGUGAGUGAAGAAGGUUUUCGGAUCGUAAAGCUCUGUUGUAAGAGAAGAACGAGUGUGAGAGUGGAAAGUUCACACUGUGACGGUAUCUUACCAGAAAGGGACGGCUAACUACGUGCCAGCAGCCGCGGUAAUACGUAGGUCCCGAGCGUUGUCCGGAUUUAUUGGGCGUAAAGCGAGCGCAGGCGGUUAGAUAAGUCUGAAGUUAAAGGCUGUGGCUUAACCAUAGUACGCUUUGGAAACUGUUUAACUUGAGUGCAAGAGGGGAGAGUGGAAUUCCAUGUGUAGCGGUGAAAUGCGUAGAUAUAUGGAGGAACACCGGUGGCGAAAGCGGCUCUCUGGCUUGUAACUGACGCUGAGGCUCGAAAGCGUGGUGAGCAAACAGGAUUAGAUACCCUGGUAGUCCACGCCGUAAACGAUGAGUGCUAGGUGUUAGACCCUUUCCGGGGUUUAGUGCCGUAGCUAACGCAUUAAGCACUCCGCCUGGGGAGUACGACCGCAAGGUUG
rnacentral:rRNA from 1 species